AUUCCAUCGUCCGGCAUGUCCACGCUACCGGAGACAAAGUAUUGGGUGACCUACGUUCCUGUGGUGGUGAACAUGACUGCGAGUUCUCCAGAAGAACAAAUGCUGGGAACUAAAUGAAGAGGAAUGAAUGAAAAGUGGUAUCCAAUCUGUGAUAUUAUUGGGGACCUGAUUAUGGUUCAGAACGAUCUAUAAAACAUAACUGACUACUAAAAUCAGAUUGUCAAAAUGUCC